rnacentral:rRNA from 1 species
UAGGGAAUCUUCCACAAUGGACGCAAGUCUGAUGGAGCAACGCCGCGUGAGUGAAGAAGGUUUUCGGAUCGUAAAGCUCUGUUGUUGGUGAAGAAGGAGAGAGGUAGUAACUGGCCUUUAUUUGACGGUAAUCAACCAGAAAGUCACGGCUAACUACGUGCCAGCAGCCGCGGUAAUAGGUAGGUGGCAAGCGUUGUCCGGAUUUAUUGGGCGGAAAGCGAGCGCAGGCGGAAGAAUAAGUCUGAUGUGAAAGACCUCGGCUUAACCGAGGAACUGCAUCGGAAACUGUUUUUCUUGAGUGCAGAAGAGGAGAGUGGAAGUCAUUGUGUAGAGGUGGAAUGCGUAGAUAUAUGGAAGAACACCAGUGGCGAAGGCGACUCUCUGGUCUGCAACUGACGCUGAGGCUCGAAAGCAUGGGUAGCGAACAGG